GCCCCCGUAGCAUGAAGGUCGUGCAGUUGCCUUGUAAGCAUCAGGACCUGGUUCGAUUCCGGGCGGGGGCACCA
rnacentral:tRNA from 1 species